UACGUAGGGUGCAAGCGUUGUCCGGAAUUAUUGGGCGUAAAGAGCUCGUAGGCGGUCUGUCGCGUCGGCUGUGAAAUCCCGAGGCCCAACCUCGGGUCUGCAGUCGAUACGGGCAAGCUAGAGUAUUGCAGGGGAGACUGGAAUUCCUGGUGUAGCGGUGAAAUGCGCAGAUAUCAGGAGGAACACCGGUGGCGAAGGCGGGUCUCUGGGCCGAUACUGACGCUGAGGAGCGAAAGCGUGGGGAGCGAACAGG
rnacentral:rRNA from 1 species